rnacentral:rRNA from 1 species
UACGUAGGUGACAAGCGUUGUCCGGAUUUACUGGGCGUAAAGAGCGCGCAGGCGGUCGUUCAAGUCGAGUGUGAAAGCCCCCGGCUCAACUGGGGAGGGUCACUCGAUACUGAUCGACUCGAAGGCAGGAGAGGGAAGUGGAAUUCCCGGUGUAGUGGUGAAAUGCGUAGAUAUCGGGAGGAACACCAGUGGCAAAGGCGACUUCCUGGCCUGUUCUUGACGCUGAGGCGCGAAAGCUAGGGGAGCAAACGGG